CCAGGCGUGUAUGAUGACAGAAUUUUUUCCCCGUCAGAUCGACCAUGUUGAUCUCAACUCUUCCAAGCCAGUUUGUCUGACAUGCCUGC
rnacentral:snoRNA from 1 species